rnacentral:rRNA from 1 species
GAUGAACGCUGGCGGCGUGCCUAAUACAUGCAAGUCGAGCGAACAGACGAGGAGCUUGCUCCUUUGACGUUAGCGGCGGACGGGUGAGUAACACGUGGGUAACCUACCUAUAAGACUGGGAUAACUUCGGGAAACCGGAGCUAAUACCGGAUAAUAUUUCGAACCGCAUGGUUCGAUAGUGAAAGAUGGCUUUGCUAUCACUUAUAGAUGGACCUGCGCCGUAUUAGCUAGUUGGUAAGGUAACGGCUUACCAAGGCAACGAUACGUAGCCGACCUGAGAGGGUGAUCAGCCACACUGGGACUGAGACACGGUCCAGACUCCUACGGGAGGCAGCAGUAGGGAAUCUUCCGCAAUGGGCGAAAGCCUGACGGAGCAACGCCGCGUGAGUGAUGAAGGUCUUCGGAUCGUAAAACUCUGUUAUUAGGGAAGAACAAACGUGUAAGUAACUGUGCACGUCUUGACGGUACCUAAUCAGAAAGCCACGGCUAACUACGUG